rnacentral:piRNA from 1 species
UCUUAUUUAAAGAGAAAGUUAAA